GCUGGGCAUGGAGGCCCAUGCCUGUAAUCCCAGCUAUUUGGGAGGCUGAGGUGGGAGGAUCGUUUGAGCCCAGGAGUUAGAGACCAGCCUGGGCAACAUAGUAAGAUUCCAUCUCAA
rnacentral:sRNA from 1 species